rnacentral:sRNA from 1 species
CACCUGUUAGGUGAGGCUCCUAUACAAACAUAAGCUACUGCUCAGAAACAUCGAGAGAUGCCCAUGAGUCAGCUGGAAUUGCCUUCAAGGCUCUUUCUAAUGUAGCUGAAUUUAUUUUCUACGUUGUAUAGUGCUAAAACUCAACA